AGAUGGGACAUCUUGGUCGGCAUGGGCGUUAGGCUGAUGGGCCCUUUUCCAUACUGUGUCACUCUGACAACUCCAACUGGAUGUUAAAAGUAUUCCAAUGCACUUUGGAAUAUCCUGUGCUCAUGAUGAGUGCUAUAUAAAUGCAGGUCCUUCAUUUAUAGAUCCUUUUUGAAAGUUACCAUUGAAUCUGAUUCCAGUACCCAUCAAACACAAAGU